rnacentral:lncRNA from 10 species
ACACAGUUGAUCUGAUAGUAACACACUGAGGUUGGUCUUUCAUGGAGGAGAAAAUUGUCCAAUGUCACGGUGGCAAAAGUAAGACUUGAACCUAAGUCCCACCAGAUGAUGGCAAGAAUGUGGGCAAACCACUAAGAUGCUGAGCUUCGGGCCACCUGUCUCCAUACUGGGAAUCGCAAUAGCACCUCACUGACCCACCUCCUUGCCCUGUGGGGAGGGAAGACAAUUGUGAGUGCAAAGCUAAUUCACAAGUGUCAGUGGGCUGGGAGCACCUGAGGACAGGGAGAUCCUCCACUGUAUCACAGUGUGCCCAGCACCCAGAUCCAUGCUGGGGCGUCAUCAGCCCUGUACUGAGUAUCAGCCCUCUACUGGAGUGGAGUGAAGCCAUGCCCACACUGUGUCCCGUGGAAAGCAGAGGAGAAUUCUUCUUAUGGUCCGGAUGGAAGGAGUGGGUGCAAACAAGGCGUCCAUCACACGGCAGACCACCCUGAGCAGAGAACGAGCACACAGUGCUAGGAGUAGGAAGCAGAUAAGGGGUCCCCCAAACCUCAUCUUUUGGAUCAACCAAAUUCAUGGCAGCCUAAUCCAAAGAGCCCUGUGGCCCUCUCACAAGAGCUGGGAGUUGAACUGAGGCCCACAGCAUACCUCGCUUUAAUGGGACAGCUGAGCCCAAGCAUUGGUAGUGGGGGCAGGGCAAAGGGGCUGAUGGCGGCCUGAUGCCAACCUCAAAGAAACCACAUGGCUUCUGACACAGGGGCAAACAAGCAAGGUGUGGUGGUUCUCGCCUGUCAUCUCAGCUACUCAGGAGGCUGAGGCAGGAGGACUGCCUGAGUCCAGGAGUUUGAGACCAGCCUGGGCAAUAUAGCAGGACCCCAUGUAAAAAAGAAAAAAAAAAAAGCACAGUAUAGGGAGGACAGACAAGACCCUCAGACCUGGGUAUGGCUAAUCUAAGAGUAAAAAGGGGCCAGGCACGGUGGCUCAUGCCUGUAAUUCCAACACUUUAGGAGGCCGAGGCAGGCGGAUCACAAGAUCAAGAGUUUGAGACCAGCUUGGCCAACAUGACAAAACCACAUCUCUACCAAAAAUACAAAAAUUAGCCGGGCGUGGUGCCAGGCACCUGUAGUCUCAGCUACUCAGGAGGCUGAGGCAGGAGAAUCGCUUGAACCCGGGAGGCAGAGGUUGCAGUGAGCUGAGAUCGCGCCAUUGCACUCCAGCCUGGACAACAGAGCGAGACUCCAUCUCAAAAAAAAAAAAAAAAAAAAAAGUAUUUUAAAAGGAUAAAGUGCCCUGGAGAUGGAGAUAAAACAGAGAAUCCCCAUGAAACCAAGUCAGCCCUGUCGCCAGGGCAUCUCCUGUCUUCUGUUCUGAUGAACAUUAGCGUCACCUCCUCACGGAAGCCUCCCCUGACUCUGAGAGAGAUCUUCACAGUCCCAGGACACCUUAUCUAUACCUGUGUCAUGACACUAACUGCAUUCAGCCUUUUGUUGCAAGCAUUUACAUUCCUAUCUCCUCUUCCUCUGGAACUAAGUGCAGGGCCAGAGACUUAGUAUUCUUGUGUCCUUCUAGGGCAGCUACGACAGUGCCUGGUGCUUGGGGAGUGCUUGACAGAUUCAGGUUGAAGAAACAAAGGCAGGAUGUCUGAGAUGCCCAGCGUGGGUGAGUGCACCCUCCCUCCCUGGCUCUGCUCCUCCCCCUCCCCGGAACCACCACCCCCUCAGCCCUGAGCUGCCGAUGCCCU